AGUGAACGCUGGCGGUAGGCCUAACACAUGCAAGUCGAACGGCAGCACAGUAAGAGCUUGCUCUUACGGGUGGCGAGUGGCGGACGGGUGAGGAAAAUAUCGGAACCUACUUUUUCGUGUGGGAUAACGUAGGUAAACUUACGCUAAUACCGCAUACGACCUACGGGUGAAAGCAGGGGAUCUUCGCACCUUGCGCGAUUGAAUGCGCCGAUGUCGGAUUAGCUAGUUGGCGGGCUAAUGGCCCACCAUGGCGAGGAUCCGUAGCUGGUCUGAGAGAAUGGUCGGCCGCAUGGGAGCGGGGACAGGGUCAAGGGUACUACGGGAGGGAGCAGUGGGGAAUAGUAGGCAAUGGGGGGAAGUCUGAUCCAGCCAGACCAAGUGUGAGAAGAAGGCGUUGCGGUUGUAAAGACGUUUUGUGGGGAGUGAAAAGCAGCAGGUUGAGACCCAGCUGGUCUGACGGUAACCAAAGAAUAAGCACCGGCUAACUUCGUG
rnacentral:rRNA from 1 species